rnacentral:rRNA from 1 species
AUUGAACGCUGGCGGCAGGCCUAACACAUGCAAGUCGAACGAGUGGCGGACGGGUGAGUAAUGUCUGGGAAACUGCCUGAUGGAGGGGGAUAAAUACUGGAAACGGUAGCUAAUACCGCAUACCAUCGGAUGUGCCCAGAUUGGAUUAGCUAGUAGGUGGGGUAACGGCUCACCUAGGCGACGAUCCCUAGCUGGUCUGAGAGGAUGACCAGCAACACUUGAACGUAGACACGGUCCAGACACCUAGGGGAGGCAGCAGUGGGGAAUAUUGAACAAUGGGCGCAAGCCUGAUGCAGCCAGGCCGCGUGGAUGAAGAAGGACUUCGGGUUGUAGAGGACUUUCAGCGGGGAGGCGUUACCCGAAGAAGAGGCACCGGCGAACACCGUGCCAGCAGCCGGGGUAAUUC